AUACUAUAUGGCAAGAACGUUGGCAAGAACCUUUUCAGCUGUCUAUCUAGCCGUUAAUUAAUGGUGUUGAGUGUGAUCUGUUUGAUUGCUCACCUCCGCCGCCUUUAGUUUUAAAGAAUCCAAAGUUUGUCUUACAGGUUUUAGUGUGUCUGUCUCUGUGGCCGCCUUGGACCCAGUCUGAGUGCAUGCUCCAGAGGUUUAAGAAUGCCAGAAUUCGUGUGCUUCUCUCACUGUGGCUAAACAGAACCUCCUUGACAUAGUUUUGAUAAUUAUCUCAUUCAGGUUUGUUAAUUUUUUUUAAGGGAAAUUAAGUAUCCUAGGCUACAAAAAGGCAAUUUCUGGCUCAGUUUGACCCUGGAGUGGCCUGUUAUAGGAUUUCAUAGAAUUGUAGAGUUGAAGGUAUUCCUACGAUUCCAAGAUGCAGCUGGUGGGCUGGAUCUGAAGAGACACAAAAUGUAAUAAAUUGAGCCAGUGGAAGAUCUUGCACCAUAAUGAAUUGCAGGGGGUUGGACUAGAUGGCCCCCAGGAGACCCAACUCUUACUGUGACAUGAAACUUGAGAUCUUGCGCAAGGUCUCGUGCUAACUGUUGGAUUUUGGCUCUCUUUUUCGCACACAAGGAUCUUGCACUAAGCCAGAAAACAAAACGAAAAGCCCUUCUCCUCCAGGAAGAGGCCUUCUGUUUGCCAAAGAGCUCCUCAGAAUCCAGUCCAAGGUUGUCGGACCUUUGCUCAGUUGGGCCUCUUUGUGAAAAAAAAUCUGUGGGCAGCAGGUUUAUAGAGCAGUGCCCCCUUUUGAAAGGUCCUCCUCAGUUCACUGAGAAGACUCCUUCACACAUGUAAACAUGUGUCCUCUGCACUUGAUUACUUAAAACGUCUGAACUGGCCUUGCUUGAAAAGGACUGGGUUCUGAAUUUUGAAGAAAGUUCUGUCGAUGGCAUUGUACAGUGGUACCUCGGGUUAAGUACUUAAUUCAUUCUGGAGGUCCGUUCUUAACCUGAAACUGUUCUUAACCUGAAGCACCACUUUAGCUAAUGGGGCCUCCCGCUGCUGCCGCGCCGCUGGAGCUUGAUUUCUGUUCUCAUCCUGAAGCAAAGUUCUUAACCUGAGGUACUAUUUCUGGGUUAGCGGAGUCUGUAACCUGAAGCAUCUGUAACCCGAGGUACCACUGUAUUACUUGCCCAUUUACAAAUGCAACUAAACACUUGAUGUUGCUGUUAUCAAGUGUGAACCGGGUCACAAUCCUGCACAUUGUGGUCUGCCGGUGAAUGUCUGCCCCUUCCCCAAAUGUUGCAUUCCAAGGCACAAUCCUUCCAUGUCAAGCAUCCCUUAUUUUGGUGUCUCCUCUCUUGGGCAACUCUUGGUUUUUGAGUGCAUGUCAGUCAUCCUUAGUAGGCACCCUCGCCCGGGUCUUUUACCUUGCUUCAGUUUUCUUUCACUUACCUUUUGUCGUUGUCGAGCCCUUCUGGAGAACUGUGCAGAUCCUUCUCUUAAAUCAGACAGGAUCAUGGUUCCAAAAGGCUAGUAUUUUGUUAUGCAAAGGCUUUCUUGGGGGAAGGAGUAGCAUUGAGCAAAUAUUCUUUGAUGGCGUGCUAAAGGAAAUGGUUCUUUUCAUGGAAAGGCUUUGUGGUUCUGCCAGCACCUGUUGCCACUAACUCUUGAUCUGACUGUUAUUUUGAAGUGUUUUACCAAGACUCCUAAUUGCAGCUGUGUGCAUGCAAUCCCAUUGUUGCAGCAGGAACAUAAAAUAUGGGGCGGGGGAGAGAUACAUGCUUGUACAUACAUCCUAAAAACACCUGUGCAUGCAACAGCUAGUUAUAUGUACCUGGCACUGCUUUCCGCAUCAAGUGUGGAGAUGCCCUGCAAAUGCGGUGCUGUGUAUCAAUGCAACAUCUCUUCUUAUCCCAGAGGACAGGCUCUUUUUACUUUGCAGUACUCGCUGCUGACAAUAGCUCUGAAGUCUUCCAGGAAGCAAAUAAGUGUGCGUUGAGCACUGGUGCUUUAAGCCUGUGUCCACUUAAGACAGAAUAAAUAUCUCAGGCUGCCUCCACUCUACAGAACUACCAGUUGGUGGUGUUUGCAUCUGUUUGGAGACCUCUCAACAAAGGCUUCUGGGGCGCACAUUCGGUGCACCUAGAGCCAAUCUGCACAUGAAGAACUAUGUUGUGAUUUUUUUUUUCACCUGGGCUAUAACACUUGAUGGUAUUGUGUUGGAGAAAUUUGGGGUGGGUGGAUGAACCUAGUUUUCCUGCACUUAGGAAACCUUAGGGAGAAAAGCUAUACUGCUAGUUUUGGUGAAAGAGAGAUUCCACCUAUCACUGGGAGUUUUCAAAACAAAAUACAGAGUCGUCAUCAUCAUAUGCUAUGCAUGUACAGUCCCAUUUUCCAGGUAGUUUUAAAUACGCCCAGACCCUCAAACUCCCAGACACGGUCUGAAAAUGGUUCUGCUGGUGACCUAUUGUAACGAUAACCCCACUGCUAAAAGUCUGUUAGAAAAAAUUGUGAUGCUAUGUGUUUGUUUUUUCAAAAGAUAUCCCACAAAACUAAGCAGUUCACGAAACACGUGGCCUAAAUAAUUGUAAUCUUGUGGUUUCUGCAAGCAGAUAGGAUGAGGCCAAGUCACUGCACCCGUUGGGGGUGGUUUGUUUGGUUUUUAAACUAGCGUAUUUCAACUAGGUUUUUCAUUCAUGUCUCUCUCCAGUAACACAGGCAACUGCUUUUCAAUCAGGAAAUGUGUAUACAUGUAAUUCAGAAAGGGUGUCAUUUUUGUUUCCAUGCCCCCAGUACAAUUAUUUGUUCACAGCUGCCUUAAAACUAGGCCUUUGCUUCUCAGAAAUAAAUCGUAGCCCAGCCUACCAAGGUCUGAUUCCCCCAUUUUUGUGGUGGGGGAUAUCACAGAAUAGAGGGUGUGAUGAUUUGUUUUGUGAGCUUUUCAUGUGGUGGUUCUCACCAGAGCACUUCACCGUACAAAAUGUGAGGUGGAGACUUGCCUUGUGGUGUCAAAAAAUAGCCAUGUGAAACCCAAAUACAUCCCAGGAGUGACAAGGCCAGCAGUAAAAUGGGUUAUGAUGACUCUUGGAACCGGCUAUUUUCUUCUGGCGAUAUUUAGAAACGUGGGAUAAAUCUCAAACAGAACGGAGGUGUGUGGCAAAGCAGUGUAUGGCGGUUUCACUCUGUUGCCCUCCAGAUAUUUUGGACUGCAAUUUCCAUCAGGCCAAACGAAACAUCUGGAGGGUACCAGUUUGGCUACUAUGGAGCUUGGUUCCAAGCUAAAUAACUUCUCACAGGUGUUUUUUUAAAAAAUAUUUCUAUUUGGGUUUGUUCUGCAAAUUGGCUUGGAACAAACAACAUGUUUCCAUGGAGUGUGGGGAGCCUAUAAUCAUUAGAUAAUUUGCUAAGUCGAGCGGUAGGUUAUGAGAAAUGGGGAGGCGGUGGGAAGAAUGACAGGGGGUGUUGUCAAAAUUACAAUAGUAUUUGUCCAGAAGUGUUGCCUAACAUUUGGAAUCACUUCGAUGCAGUUCAACUUGAAAUGAAGUCUGGUUCCUCUUGCAGACAAAUAAAAUUCUGGCUUUGAUCAUUAAAAGCUCGAUUUCCAAAUUUGCAAAAUGUAUUCGAGGAAAUCCCAGUGUUUUUCAUUUACAAGUGGGCUUGGGUGUGCUGCCCUAAGUCACACUCAAGCCAUGUCCCAAUAUGUGGGAAUUGUCUGCGUAGCACAUUCGCCAGCAAUUCAGCUGAGUAGGACAGUCCCUGCUCACAGCUCCCCGCAUAAGAGAGAACCACAAAAAUACAAUCCUUGCAUGCCGAAGGGCUGAAUGAGAAAUUGCUUUACCUAGAGAACACAAAAUCAGAAAUUCAGAAUCUCUUGGAAACGUGAGCAAUAUUAGAAAAUCCAUGUAUGUUGGAAUACUUUGACCGUACAGCCCCGUUCCUUUUAAGUUUGAAAUCUGUGAAACCGAAUUCUCCAUUUGCUUAGUUAGAUUUGUGGGUGAAGGGUCAUAUCUCGCUGAACUCCACAAAAAUUUGUUCUUCGCUGUCUUCACAGUCCCUGAAUAGGUUGCGGCUGUCAGAAAGUAUUACUAGUUUUUUUAAUAAAAUUAUACACAUCUAUAUAAUAUUUAUUUUCUGUAUACUUUUUGCUUAAAUUAAAAAGGAAUCCAGAAAUCAUCUUGGAAAGCUGGCAGCGAGGGCUAUUAAAAAUGAUGUCUGUAUGUUAUCCUUUGGUCAUUUUGUGUAUUGGGUACCUCCUUGAUAGCUUGUCACCAAAUCAUGGCUGUUGGUGAACUUAACUGGAACCAGGCAAGCCUCUAUACAGGGGAAUCUUCCUUUGCUGUUGACAUGGGGAUGCUCGUGUGGACUGGUCCAUUAGGGUGGGCCACUGUCCCACCAACCUCAGUUUGCCCUCAAGCUGCUCCCACCUGCCUCCUUCCCUCCUUAAAACCAGUCAUUGAGGGUGGGGGUGGCUCUGCCUGUCUUGGCUCCAGUGCCCCCUACUGAUGGCCUCCCUGCUUUCUGACCUACCAGUUCAGUGGGCACCAGCCACCACCGAAGGCAACUGCUACCAGGAGCAAAUGCAGCAAAGGUUUUAAUAUAUGCAUAAACUCUUUUGCUGAAACUUUCCUGUAUCUCUGCAAGCCGCCAUUUCUUGAAGGGUGGUUUUAACAUAAUGCAUUUUGUAAGUUUCUUUUUUAAAAUAAUAAUAAUAAUAAUACUGUAGGAAAGCUAAUAAUACAGGGAACCUUUACAUUUCUCAGCUGUAAAAGAAAAGAAAAAGCAUGUGGAUUUCUUAGUCUUUGGAAUUUACGCUUAGGAAGUCUCUUUUCUUUCGUUGCGCACAAACUGUAUGCCCAGAACUGUAAAUCAAUAUGGUUUUGAUUGUGCCUUAUGACAAAGGAUGGAAUCGUAACACGAAAGGUAGAUGUUUAAAGAGGCAGAAGUGUUGUUUGCUGCACUGUCCGGGAUGAUGCAUUGCAUGUCACUAGAGAGAUUGCCAUGCUUUUAACCCCCCAACCAAAGAGAUCGAGGGGAAAAAAUAUGUGUGUAUGUAUGUUGUACUGUAAUAGAAGCUUGUGCCUGGAAAAAUUUAAGUGGUUUUUUGUGUGUGUUUUGUUUUGUUUGUAUUCUGAAAUGUGAACUUAUUUUUCUAAACACUAUAUACUGAAUAAACUUUAUAUUUAUAC